GAUGCCUGAUCUCAUCAAUCUAGCGGGAGAGACAGGAUAACCUGUCCGAGAGUAUAGCGCCACUAUGACUCCGCCGGAAAAAUUACUUUAAAAAUCGCCAAAAAUUACUUGGAGCAAAGGGCAGUCGGCGGAGCUUCGCCAAGGCUGGCGCAGUCGGUUUUGACCUGUAGCAGAGAACCAAUUCUGGAGAACAGCCUCACUUCUUUGAUUGAAUACUUACAUAAUGCAUUGGAACAUGACAUGAGAUUAAGGUUUAAUAAUGAUAGAAUGAAGACCACAAUAAAAGAGACCUCUACUUAGCUCAGCAAUUCUUACCUUUCUUACCUAUUUGAUGAAGAUGUCUUUUGAAAGGUGUACUGCAAGGAACAAAAUGUUUGUAAAUUCUCCUUUUACCAAGGUAAAGAUCAAAUUUUAUAAAUUUACUUGUUUGUUUAUACAAGGAAAAAUAACUUCAUAUAUUGAAUAUAUUCAAAAGUUUAAGCAUUUAGUUGUAUUGCCCUGUUAAGUUGGCAUAGCAAAUAAAUGCUUUUCUUUUCCUCAUUUUAUUCUUUGUGUUUCCUAACCUAUAGCACUGUGCUGGGCACAGAAUGGACUUCAGUUAAGUUUUUGAUGUAGAAAUGUUUUAUUAUUCUACUUAAAAUCUCCUUAAAAAUAAUUAUGCAUAUUACAUCAAUGUUAUAAUGUUUAAACAUAGAUUUUUUUACAUGCAUUCUUUUUUUCCUGAAAGAAAAUAUUUUUUAUAUUCUUUAGGCGCGAAUGUGUGUUUAAAAAAAAUAAAACCUUGGAGUAAA
rnacentral:lncRNA from 1 species